rnacentral:rRNA from 1 species
AGCGAACGCUGGCGGCAGGCCUAACACAUGCAAGUCGAACGGGCCUUUCGGGGUUAGUGGCGGACGGGUGAGUAACACGUGUGAACGUGCCUUUAGGUUCGGAAUAGCUCCUGGAAACGGGUGGUAAUGCCGAAUGUGCCCUUAGGGGGAAAGAUUUAUCGCCUUUAGAGCGGCUCGCGUCUGAUUAGCUAGUUGGUGAGGUAAUGGCUAACAAAGGCUACGAUCAGUAGCUGGUCUGAGAGGAUGACCAGCCACAUUGGGAUUGAGACACGGCCCAAACUCCUACGGGAGGCAGCAGUGGGGAAUCUUGCGCAAUGGGCGAAAGCCUGACGCAGCCAUGCCGCGUGGAUGAUGAAGGUCUUAGGAUUGUAAAAUCCUUUCACCGGUGAAGAUAAUGACUGUAGCCGGAGAAGAAGCCCCGGCUAACUUCGUGCCAGCAGCCGCCGUAA